GUUUUCGUGGCCAAGUGGUUAUGGCGAUAGACUCGAAAUCUUUUGGGAGUUCCCGCGCAGGUUCCAAUCCUGCCGACAACG
rnacentral:tRNA from 1 species